rnacentral:misc_RNA from 1 species
AACGCACAUUGCGCCCUUUGGCAUUCCGAAGGGCAUGCCUGUUCGAGCGUCAUUACACCAAUCAAGCCUGGCUUGGUAUUGGGCGACGGGGGGUUCGUUUCUAACGCCCCCGCGCCCCAAAGACCCGACCGGCGGGACGGACCAAAUCUCAGCGUUGUGCAAACCAUUGUCGCUGGCGAGAUGGAACGGCCGUGCCGUGAAAACACCCCUUUUUCUGUAAUGUUGACCUCGGAUCAGGUAGGGAUACCCGCUGAACUUAA